CAACUUUCAACAACGGAUCUCUUGGCUCUCGCAUCGAUGAAGAACGCAGCGAAAUGCGAUAASUAAUGUGAAUUGCAGAAUUCAGKGAAUCAUCGAAUCUUUGAACGCACCUUGCGCCCCUUGGUAUUCCGAGGGGCAUGCCUGUUUGAGUGUCAUUA
rnacentral:rRNA from 1 species